rnacentral:rRNA from 1 species
UGGGGAAUUUUCCGCAAUGGGCGAAAGCCUGACGGAGCAAUACCGCGUGCGGGAGGAAGGCCUUUGGGUCGUAAACCGCUUUUCUCAGGGAAGAAGCACUGACGGUACCUGAGGAAAAAGCCUCGGCUAACUCCGUGCCAGCAGCCGCGGUAAUACGGAGGAGGCAAGCGUUAUCCGGAAUUAUUGGGCGUAAAGCGUCCGCAGGUGGUGUUGUAAGUCUGCUGUCAAAGACGGAAGCUCAACUUCCGAGCGGCGGUGGAAACUGCAAAACUAGAGUACAGUAGGGGUAGAGGGAAUUCCCAGUGUAGCGGUGAAAUGCGUAGAGAUUGGGAAGAACACCGGUGGCGAAAGCGCUCUGCUGGGCUGUAACUGACACUGAGGGACGAAAGCUAGGGGAGCGAAUGGGAUUAGAUACCCCCGUAGUCC